rnacentral:lncRNA from 1 species
AGCAAGCAUCUCCUUUUGCCAUACUUCUGUGACCGAUAGAAGUGUGCUGAUGGUGGGUCGUGGGAGGUGCUGUUCCCAGACCCCAGUCAUCUUGUCUGCACAACACACACCUACAGUGCAGAAAGUCUUGUGUCCAACCAGACAACCAGUCAGUAUACAUUUGUGGGGGAGACUCUUAAAGGCUGAGUUUUUGACAGGAAGCUAUGACUGAAUAGCUAGCUGUCCUAAAGGUGCUGCUCCUUCCUCAAGCCCUGCUGGGUUCCCCUGCUGGGUCUCCUUUGCCCCAGGCCUCAAGCUCACACAAGCCAGUGGGUUCAACUGAAUGCACGACCACGUCUCACCUCCUUUCAAGGCCUCACUGGGGCAACUUCAGCUUUAUCACUUCCUGUCUUCACAAAUGAACAGUUUAGGUGAGCCCCACUCCCAAGAGAGGUCUCUGUACCUUCUCCAGCCGGCACCUGCCUGCUUGGUGCUCAGGGAGGAGUGCUUCUUCCUUUUUGUUCUUAAACUAAUCUUACCCCGCAGGCUUGGGGGAGCCAAGGAAUAGAGUUCUGUCCCAGAGGUGGGUAGUGUGACAGACCUGGGAUGAAUCUUUUGCUUAUCAAACUUCUUGUCACUCCAGCAAACCCAGUUCCUCUGAGGUAGAGAACAGGAAUGGAAGGAAUUAAUGCUCCUUGAAGCUUUCCUAUCUCUAAGUCCAAGGCAGGCAGAAAGGAAUGUCUACUAAACUUCAUUUGGGAAGAGGGGGAUGAAAGGAAGGCAGAGAGAGCACAGCUACAGCCCAGAAAGGACGGGAUUCUUCUCUGAGAGAUUCUUGGAGCAGAGAUGGAGAAAGAUAACAUUCGACCUCCUGGGUCACCUUCCCAGUAUAAGCCAUACAAACCAGCAACCCACCUGAAGGUGUGCAAGUGGAAUUGGGGUAAAGAGUUGGCCUGGGCAGCUUGUGCCAAGUGGGCAAGGGCUGACGAGCCUCCUGUGGCUCUUCACCCCAGGGCAUCCUGACCAUGUCAGCCCCUCAGGCAGCAUCCUUGCCUGAAAUGUGAAUGUGGGGGCAAAGUGGGCAGAGGAUCCUACUGGGGAACCUUGUCUCCUCAGAGUCAAUGGGGAGACAAGCAUCCAGGCACCCACAUGGGUAUUUAUAUCUGAACCAGACAGAAAGACGCUUGAAUCAGGCACUAUGUUGAGAAAUGUAUUUAUUUGCUAAUAUAUUUAUCCAUAAAUAUGA